rnacentral:rRNA from 1 species
UACGUAGGGGGCGAGCGUUGUCCGGAAUUAUUGGGCGUAAAGGGUUCGCAGGCGGCCUUUUAAGUCAGAUGUUAAAUCUCACGGCUUAACCGUGAUAAGCAUUUGAAACUGGAGGGCUUGAGUUAAGGAGAGGAAAGUGGAAUUCCUAGUGUAGCGGUGAAAUGCGUAGAUAUUAGGAGGAAUACCGGUGGCGAAGGCGACUUUCUGGACUUAUACUGACGCUGAGGAACGAAAGCAUGGGGAGCAAACAGG